GAAAAAUUAUUCCGCAAAAUUUUCCAUUUCAGCUAGCCGCAACAAUUAAAAAAAUUUUUAUUUCUUCAUACUUUGAUUUCUUUAGGAUCUAAGUUAUUGGGUUCUAUGUUGCUCAUUUGUAAAUGCCCUAACUUCUGAAUACUAUGUUAGACAAAAUACUGAUUUUGCCUCUGCUGAAAUAAUUGAACUUUAGGCACCCAAAAAUUAAUAUUGCACAUUUCGCAUAUAUUCUGCAAAUUAAAGCAUUUUUGUGUACCACUCACCCACAAAAAUAGGUUUCAGGAAAAUUUAUUGUGCAAAUAAUUUGUACCCUUGGCAAGUUUAGGCUCUUACAACAAGUUUGAAUGCAUAUUAAAAUUAAAAAAAAAAGUUAUCAAGGUAUUGCUUAUAGCCUGGAAAAGAUUUGAGGUAAGUGUUUAUACUUCUUAUGCUUCAUAUUUCCAAACUUUGUUAAAAAAUUCCUAAGUUUUGCUAAAAACAAUACUACACUCAGGUUUUUUACCCAAAAAUAAUUUAACAUAUCCGGCCUAUAUAUCCUGCAAUAUAGGAUUCCUGCUAAACCCACCUUUAUUUGUAGGUUAAAACACUAAUCCAGUGGUGAAGUAAUAAUAGACUAGAGUAAAUAUGGUAUUCUUGGUCACUGUUGAAUAUAACAUUUUAGGGAUGCUUGCUUUUAGGCAAGUUUAGGAACUUUCAAAAAAAUUAAAUAUUUAUAAAACUUCCAAAAUUUGUCUUUGAACACGCAGGUAUUCUUUUUGGAAAGACAGACAUCACAAAUACUUGGCGUUUCACAGUAUCACCUGAUUUUUUUAUCAAAACUUCAUAAAAUGGUCAGCCAUAAUCUAACACAGCCAUUAUCAGCAUUUCCAAAAAAAUGUUGACAGAGUAAACUGCAAACAUUAAAUUGUGAAAAAUGAAUCACUAAAACUAAUAUAUAUUUAUAUAAUUUAUUAUAGUCUUAUUUUGGUUAAUAGUAUUUACUUCACAUUAUUUUUAAGGGAAACUAGACGUCUAUGGUUCUUCUAUGAUUUUACAGAAUUUGUAUCAUGAAAAUUUUUAGAACUUUCUAGGUAGAUCCCAAGUUUUUAUACUUUUUAUAACUGUGUGUAAAUCUGUAUAUUUUUGUUAUUUAUUCAGGUGUAAUUAAAUUGAAGUAUAUCUAAA